AAUAUCCAGUGUACAACCGUCACCACAGGAAUGGCGACGCUAGGAGGACACUAUCACCUAUCCGCCACCGCCCUUCCCGGUGGCUCACGGCGGAAGUCAUCGGGCUCUCCACUGUCCAGCGUUAACUUCAGUGUCUCUCGUACUAGAGUUUUCAAGUCGGAAAUGUCAGUUCCGUCGCCCCCCGAAGAUCGCAUUGUCUUAGGCGUUGGAGGUGCGACGGUGGACUUCUUGGCGGUGGUGGCUUCUUACCCUAAGCCCGAUGAUAAAAUUCGAAGCACCAGCUUUGAGGUUCAAGGAGGUGGCAACACUGGAAAUGCUUUGACUUGUGCAGCUCGACUUGGCCUUAAUCCAAGGAUUAUUUCCAAGGUUGCUAAUGAUGGACAAGGCAAAGGAAUAUUGGAUGAACUAGAUGGGGAUGGUGUUGACACGUCUUUCAUGGUGGUAUCCGAGGGAGGCAAUUCACCUUUCAGCUAUAUCAUUGUUGACAGUCAAACGAAAACUCGCACUUGCAUACAUACUCCAGGAGAGCCACCCAUGAAACCAGAAGAGCUAUCCCAAUCACAUUUGCUAUCUGCUAUUGAUGGAGCAAGAAUUGUCUAUUUUGAUGGAAGAUUGUAUGAAACUGCUUGCGUUGUGGCAAAGGAGGCAAGUAGUAGGAGCAUACCCAUUUUAGUUGAUGCGGAAAGGGCAAGGGACGGACUGGAUGAUCUUUUGAACUUUGCUAGUUAUGUUGUAUGCUCAACAAAGUUUCCACAGGCAUGGACCGACACCCCUACUCUUCCAAGUGCACUUAUUUCCAUGCUUAUACGAUUACCAAAUGUAAAAUUUGUGGUUGUGACAUUGGGUGAAGAGGGUUGCAUAAUGCUAGAAAGGACUGAAACUGAGUCCACUCAAUAUGAAGAAAUAGAUAUAGACGAUUUGUAUGAAAUACUGAAGCAAAGGAAGGAUGCUAACACAACCAUCCCUACAUGCAUACCAUCGAAUGUGGCAAAACUGCGAGCAAAGGGAGUAGGGAUGGUUUGUGGUAGGCUACUUCUGGGAACAACUGAAAAGAUACCGCCUUCUGAAUUAGUUGAUACAACCGGUGCUGGAGAUGCAUUUAUCGGUGCAAUCCUUUACUCAAUCUGUGCUGAUAUGCCCCCAGAAAAGAUGCUGCCAUUUGCUGCCCAAGUGGCAGCUAUCGGUUGCAGAGCCUUGGGUGCCCGAGCUGGUCUUCCCCGACGUGAUGACCCUCGCUUGACACCUUUUUUAGUGUAGGAGGGCGCCCGAGGGGUGCCCACAAUAUUGGUCUAGCAAGUCACAGAAACAAAAGGAUUGUGCUUUUUCUUGUCAUGUUCUUGUCCGGGUUUCUCUGGACUGACAUUCUGUUUGGAUUGUUACAAUGUCUUACUCAAUGAAAUCGAAUGCUUUUUCAUUCAAUCUUU